rnacentral:rRNA from 1 species
UGAGGAAUAUUGGUCAAUGGGCGGGAGCCUGAACCAGCCAAGUCGCGUGAGGGAAGACGGUCCUAUGGAUUGUAAACCUCUUUUGUCGGGGAGCAAAAAGGCCUCGUGAGGCCACAAGCGAGAGUACCCGAAGAAAAAGCAUCGGCUAACUCCGUGCCAGCAGCCGCGGUAAUACGGAGGAUGCGAGCGUUAUCCGGAUUUAUUGGGUUUAAAGGGUGCGUAGGCGGACUGGAAAGUCAGCGGUAAAAUCGAGAGGCUCAACCUCUUUCCGCCGUUGAAACUGUCGGUCUUGAGUGGGCGAGA